rfam:Nematostella vectensis strain CH2 x CH6 NEMVEscaffold_1155_Cont35192, whole genome shotgun sequence.
GCGUCCUUAGCGCAAUAGGCAGCGCGUCAGUCUCAUAAUCAAAUCUAGAAAUCUGAAGGUCGUGAGUUCAAUCCUCACACGGGGCA